rnacentral:lncRNA from 1 species
CUUUAGAGAGCACAGAGUACUCUCCCAAGCUAAUUGACCAAAGGAUCUCUAGGAAUUAAAUAGGGGGAGCUACAGAACAGGCAGCAUUAGCCAAACAUAUUUGCCGGUGGGACCUAUUUUUCAGGCACAUUGGUAGAAUCUCCCUAAGGAAAAACAGGACACUUGUAAGUUUCCUGAGGCCAUGUGAAACUCUUAAAAUGAUCAGUUCUGAGAUUUAUCAACAAAAGAGUUCAUUGGAGGAAAAUUACUUUUCUUGAAAGAAAGAAGAAGAGAAAGGGGGAGAGGGGACAGGAGUCUUGCUCUAUUGCCCAG